rnacentral:rRNA from 1 species
ACUAACUCCUAACAGCUAGCCUUCAAUACCAAAAACAACAAACAACAUUAAUAAGCCCAAAGACCAAACCCCUAAAGCAACAAACCAUUUUUCCUCCUUAGUAUGGGCGACAGAAAAGGAUAAUUAAGCGCUAUAGACAAAGUACCGCAAGGGAAAGCUGAAAGAGUAAUGAAAAAACCCAGUGAAGAGCAGAAAAGCAGAGCUUACCCCUCGUACCUUUUGCAUCAUGACUUAGUUAGUACCCCCGAGCAAAGUGCCCUUUAGUUCGAGACCCCGAAACUAAGCGAGCUACUUCAAGGCAGCCUUUUAGGGCAAACCCGUCUCUGUGGCAAAAGAGUGGGAAGACCUUUGAGUAGAGGUGACAAACCUACCGAGCUUAGUUAUAGCUGGUUGCCUACAAAAUGGAUAUAAGUUCAGCCUUUUGACUUUUUCUCUCAACCAAGGAUAUACCUGACAAUGAAACAGAAGAAGACAAAGGAGUUAUUCAAAGGGGGAACAGCCCCUAUGAAAAAAGAUACAACUUUUUAAGUUGGUUAAAGAUCAAAACAAGCAAGGAAUCGCAUUUAGGUGGGCCUAAAAGCAGCCACCCCUUCAGAAAGCGUUAAAGCUCAAAUGCCCCCUCCCCCCUCAGAUACUGACAACAAAAUCUUAAGCCCCUUAGAAAUAGUAGGCCUUUUCAUGCAAACAUGAAAGAGACACUGCUAACAUGAGUAAUAAGAGGGACCCGCCCCUCUCCACAGCACCUGUAUACACCAGAACGAACCCCCACUGAAAAUUAACGCCCCCAACAAAAGAGGGAAGUGAGAAAGUUAUAUUAAACUAGAAGACCUCUCAGAUAUUAGCGUUCACCCCACACAGGAGUGCCCGUGGAAAGACUAAAAGGAAAAGAAGGAACUCGGCAAACACUGGCCUCGCCUGUUUACCAAAAACAUCGCCUCUUGUUCAAUGAAUAUAAGAGGUCCCGCCUGCCCUGUGACCACAAGUUUAACGGCCGCGGUAUCUUGACCGUGCAAAGGUAGCGUAAUCACUUGUCUUUUAAAUGGAGACCCGUAUGAAUGGCAUAACGAGGGCUAAGCUGUCUCCUUUUCCCAGUCAAUGAAAUUGAUCUCCCCGUGCAGAAGCGGGGAUAAAAACAUAAGACGAGAAGACCCUAUGGAGCUUCAGACACAAGGCAGCCAAUGUUAAAUAACCUAGACUAAUAGACAUAAACAACAUAGUGCCUGCCCUUUUGUCUUUGGUUGGGGCGACCGCGGGGCAAUAAAAAUCCCCCACGUGGAACAGGAGCAUCCUUAAAGCCAGAGCUUCAGCUCUAACAAACAGAACAUCUGACCAAAAAGAUCCGGCAAAGCCGAUCAACGGACCGAGUUACCCUAGGGAUAACAGCGCAAUCCCCUUUCAGAGCCCAUAUCGACAAGGGGGUUUACGACCUCGAUGUUGGAUCAGGACCCCCUAAUGGUGCAGCCGCUAUUAAGGGUUC